GUGGGGAAUAUUGGACAAUGGGCGAAAGCCUGAUCCAGCCAUGCCGCGUGUGUGAAGAAGGUCUUCGGAUUGUAAAGCACUUUAAGUUGGGAGGAAGGGCAGUAAGUUAAUACCUUGCUGUUUUGACGUUACCGACAGAAUAAGCACCGGCUAACUUCGUGCCAGCAGCCGCGGUAAUACGAAGGGUGCAAGCGUUAAUCGGAAUUACUGGGCGUAAAGCGCGCGUAGGUGGUUUUGUAAGUUGGAGGUGAAAUCCCCGGGCUCAACCUGGGAACUGACUCCAAAACGGGAUGACUAGAGUACGGUAGAGGGUAGUGGAAUUUCCUGUGUAGCGGUGAAAUGCGUAGAUAUAGGAAGGAACACCAGUGGCGAAGGCGACUACCUGGACUGAUACUGACACUGAGGUGCGAAAGCGUGGGGAGCAAACAGGAUUAGAAACCCUGGUAGUCC
rnacentral:rRNA from 1 species